rnacentral:rRNA from 1 species
AUGAGGUGUGGAUAGCGGAGAAAUUCCAAUCGAACCCGGAGAUAGCUGGUUCUCCCCGAAAUAGCUUUAGGGCUAGCGUCGAGGUAAGAGUAGCGUGAAGGUAGAGCACUGAAUAUGUGAUGGCCCCAUCUCGGGGUACUGAGCAUAAUCAAACUGCGAAUGUCACGAAAACAUACUCGGCAGUCAGACAGCGGGUGAUAAGGUCCGUUGUCAAGAGGGAAACAGCCCAGACCAUCAGCUAAGGUCCCAAAAUGUAUGCUAAGUGGAAAAGGAUGUGGAGAUGUACAGACAACUAGGAGGUUGGCUCAGAAGCAGCCAUCCUUUAAAGAGUGCGUAACAGCUCACUAGUCGAAUGACUCUGCGCCGAUAAUUUACCGGGGCUAAGCAUACUACCGAAGCUAUGGAUCCUGAGGGAUGGUAGGGGAGCGUUCCAUGAACGGAGAAGCGCGAUCGAGAGGACGCGUGGAGAUCAUGGAAGAGAGAAUGCCGGUGUGAGUAGCGGAACGUGGGUGAGAAUCCCACGCACCGAAGACCCAAGGUUUCCAGAGGAAGGUUCGUCCGCUCUGGGUAAGUCGGGACCUAAGGCGAGGCCGAGAGGCGUAGUCGAUGGACAACAGGUAGAGAUUCCUGUACUCAUAUAUAUGUGAAGGAAUGACGGAGAGAGGAAGCUGCAGCCAGCGGCUGGAAGAGCUGGUGCAAGCGAGAUAUCGGGAUGGCAGGCAAAUCCACCAUCUGAAAACGAGAAGGCGUGAAGCGUACGGAAAGCUAAGGCGAGUACGGAAGGCAGUGGACGAGCUUCCAAGAAAAGUUUCUAACGAAAGUAUAUGUGACCCGUACCGAAAAUGGACACACAUGGGUGAGGAGAGAAUCCUAAGGUGAGCGAGAGAACUAUAGCUAAGGAACUCUGCAAAAUGACUCCGUAACUUAGGGAGAAGGAGUGCUCAUAGAGAUAUGAGCCGCAGUGAAACGGCCCAAGCGACUGUUUACCAAAAACACAGCUCUCUGCUAAGCCGCAAGGCGAAGUAUAGGGGGUGACGCCUGCCCGGUGCUGGAAGGUUAAGGGGAGGGGUUAACGCAAGUGAAGCCCUGAACUGAAGCCCCAGUAAACGGCGGCCGUAACUAUAACGGUCCUAAGGUAGCGAAAUUCCUUGUCAGGUAAGUUCUGACCCGCACGAAAGGCGUAACGAUUUGGGCGCUGUCUCAGCUGUAGACUCGGUGAAGUCUUAGUACCUGUGAAGAUGCAGGUUACCCGCGACUAGACGGAAAGACCCCAUGGAGCUUCACUGCAGGUUGAUAUUGGGAUUUGAUGCAGCAUGUACAGGAUAGGUAGGAGGCAAAGAGAUGGAUACGCCAGUAUUCAAGGAGCCGCUGUUGGGAUACUACCCCUGUUGUAUUGGAUUUCUAACCGGACGACGUAAACCGUUGACGGGACAGUGUCAGUCGGGCAGUUUGACUGGGGCGGUCGCCUCCUAAAGAGUAACGGAGGCGCCCAAAGAUACCCUCAGCUUGGAUGGAAACCAAGCGCAGAGUGCAAAGGCAAAAGGGUGUUUGACUGCGAGACCCACAAGUCGAGCAGGGACGAAAGUCGGGCUUAGUGAUCCGGCGGUGCUGAAUGGAAAGGCCGUCGCUCAACGGAUAAAAGCUACCCUGGGGAUAACAGGCUGAUCUCCCCCAA